rnacentral:rRNA from 1 species
UACAGAGGUCUCAAACGUUGUUCGGAAUUACUGGGCGUAAAGCGCGUGUAGGCUGCUUCGCAAGUCGGAUGUGAAAGCCCUGGGCUCAACCCAGGAAGUGCAUUCGAAACUGCAGAGCUGGAGUCCUGGAGAGGAAGGCGGAAUUCUCGGUGUAGAGGUGAAAUUCGUAGAUAUCGAGAGGAACACCGGUGGCGAAGGCGGCCUUCUGGACAGUGACUGACGCUGAGACGCGAAAGCGUGGGGAGCAAACAGG